rnacentral:rRNA from 1 species
AACCUCCACAAUGUACGAGAGUGCGAUGGGGGGAUCCCAAGUGCUAUUCUUAACGGGAUAGCUUUUCUUAAGUGUAAAAAGCUUUUGGAAUAAGAGCUGGGCAAGACCGGUGCCAGCCGCCGCGGUAACACCGGCAGCUCUAGUGGUAGCUGUUUUUAUUGGGCCUAAAGCGUUCGUAGCCGGUUUGAUAAGUCUCUGGUGAAAUCCUGUAGCUUAACUGUGGGAAUUGCUGGUGAUACUGUUGAACUUGAGGUCGGGAGAGGUUAGCGGUACUCCCAGGGUAGAGGUGAAAUUCUGUAAUCCUGGGAGGACCACCUGUGGCGAAGGCGGCUAACUGGAACGAACCUGACGGUGAGGGACGAAAGCUAGGGGCGCGAACCGGAUUAGAUACCCGGGUAGUCCUAGCGUAAACGAUGCGACUUGGUGUUGGGGUGGCUUUGAGCUGUUUCGGUGCCGUAGGGAAGCUGUUAAGUCCGCCGCCUGGGAAGUACGGUCGCAAGACUGAAACUUAAGGAAUU